UACGAGCUCUUUACGCCCAAUAAUUCCGGACAACGCUCGCACCCUACGUAUUACCGCGGCUGSUGGCACGUAGUUAGCCGGUGCUUCUUCUGCAGGUACCGUCACUUUCGCAUCUUCCCUGCUGAAAGAGGUUUACAACCCGAAGGCCGUCAUCCCUCACGCGGCGUCGCUGCAUCAGGCUUUCGCCCAUUGUGCAAUAUUCCCCACUGCUGCCUCCCGUAGGAGUCUGGGCCGUGUCUCAGUCCCAGUGUGGCCGGUCGCCCUCUCAGGCCGGCUACCCGUCGUCGCCUUGGUAGGCCAUCACCCCACCAACAAGCUGAUAGGCCGCGGGCUCAUCCUGCACCGCCGGAGCUUUCCACCACCAGACCAUGCGGUCGGUAGUCGUAUCCGGUAUUAGACCCCGUUUCCAGGGCUUGU
rnacentral:rRNA from 1 species